CCCCGCUGGCCGCUCCCGUUCCCGCCCCCCACCGGAGCCUUUCCGGUGGCUCCGCCCACAGCGGGGCCGCUUCUCAAGCCACGCCUGCGCAGGUCGUCGGCGAGUGGCCCGGGUUAGCUUCCCCAUAAGAUGGAGUCUCGUUCUGUCUCAGGCUGGAUGGAGCACAAUGGCGCGAUCUCUGCUCACUGGGUUCGAGCAAUUCUCCUGCUUCAGCUUCCCGAGUAGCUGGUACUACAGGCCCAGCCCUAGCCACCCAUGAACCAAUCAGCAUGUACUUCCUCACCUCUGAAGCCCAGAAAAACCCCUGGACUCAGCCAGACUCCAGAUGUCCAGAAGACCUGCCUGUGGAGAGGAGCUACCUAGUCCAUGGUCUUCUCUCUACUGAAAGCUGGGAAGAAGUCAGGACUACCAGCUGCAGAGAGAAGCUGCCCACGCUAGGGUCUCCUCUGCUGAGAGCUGAACACCAUUGGGACAACCUGCCUUUGGAGAGGAGAUGCCUACUGUGGGCCUCCUCUCUGCUCAGAGCUGAACAAUGGGACACCCUGCCUGUGGAGAGGAGCAGUCCACUGUGGUUCCCUCUGAGCUGUUCUGUCAGUAAGUUCCUCUUCAACUUACUCACCCUCCACUUGUCUGUGUACUUCAUUCUUCCUAGACACAGGACAAGAAUUGGGAUGCACUGAAUGGCUGGGCUAAAAGAGCUAUGACACAAACUGGUCUGAAACACGCCCCUUGCUCACCAUGUCGUAGGCAAUAAGGAGAGAAGAGCUACAGCCCUUUGGGGAGACCAGACCUAGGAGCUCCAAGCCAGGGCUUGACACCCUCUCUGGGGCUCUGUGUUUCCUGGCAUCUCCAAGUUUCCAGGUGCCACCACGUUCCUGAGUGCCAGCCGUGGAAGCUGCUUGCAGUACACCUGGUCCAGGCACAGCCUCACAGGGAGCUGGCACCUGUGCUGGUGCUUGGGGCUGCCUGCCCCACCACAGCCAGUGUGCCUGGAUGUCCUCAGUGGCUGGGCCCCAUACUUGCUCACUCACAUACCCCGCUCUGCUUGCAUCUGGCUCGCCCUUGGCAGGCAUAAGAUUCAGGCCAGUAGUGCAAGCUGAGCUGAGUGGGUGGAACAAGUCCAGUGGGCCCAAGUAAAAACUCAGGCAAAAGUGCCACCAGCCACAGAGGUUUCCAGCUGGUGAAGUGACACCUGCAGGAUCCCAUGACAUCAGCUCACUGCAGCCUCAACCUCCUGGGUUCAAGAGAUCCUCCUGCCUCAGCCUCCCAAGGUACUGGAACUACAGGCAUGCACCACGAUGCCCAGCUAAUUUUUGUAUCUUUCAUAGAGAUGAGGUUUUACCAUAUUGCCCAGGUUAGUCUUGAACUCCUGGGCUCAAGUGAUCCACCUGCCUUGGCCUCCCAAAGUGCUGGGAUUAUAGGCAUGAGCCACUGUGCCCAGCCUCAGAAAAGAAUGUUAAAGGAGUAGCUCCUGAAAGCCUAGACACUCCCACUCUAGACUUUCAGGAGCUACUCCUUGAAUGUUCUUUGAGGGUGACAUCCCUCAAAAUCAGUCAUUUCCCUUCCCAUUCCCAUGGCUGGAGUCAGUGGUUCUCAGUCUAGCCUAUUUAAUAGAAUCACUUGGGAAUGGACAUCCAAGUCCCCCCUAGACCAAUUUAAAAAAUCCUUUGGAAAAAUCCAAAGUGAUGGGAUGAGGAUGUGUGCCUGCUGGCUAUAAGUACUGAGCUGUUACUUCCACCAUCAUCUCUAUUGCUUCCCAAAGCCUAGCCCUCUCACUAGGGAGAAGCCAUGGUUUAAGUGAAUUUCAUCCAUUUAAAAGAAUGAGAAUUCAUUUAAAGGACGUAUUUGCUGCUAAGGGGACACUGUAUAUAGAAAGAUCAAUAAUGGAAUAUUCAUGAAUAAGAAAAGGUGCCUUCACUCUAAAAGAUCACAGAAGCAAACAGAGAUGUGUCUUAGAAAUAUAAAGGAAAGGCCUAUAUUCCAGACUAGCCCCAAGGGUGUGGGGUCAGAAGAAUUUCAAGCAGUUCUGGAGGCUGAAAGUUCAAGAUCAAAGCACCAGCAUUGGUAUCUGGUGAGGGCUUCUCUCUGCUUCUAAGAUGGAGCCUUAUUGCUGCAUUCUUCAGCGAGGAGAAAUGCUGAGUUUUCAUAUGGUGGAAGGUAGAAGAGCAAGACGAAUGCAUUCCUUAUAUGAAGCCAUUUUAUAAGAGCACCAGUUUUAUUCCUAAGAGAGGCGCCCUCAUGGUCUAAUUACCUUUUAAAAGCCCCACCUCUUGCUACUGUCAUAUUGGCAACAUCUGAAUUUUGGAGGGUACCCCUUCAAACCAUAACACUUGUUUUAUAUAUAUUUAAAUUGUUCUUUAAAAUAUUUUACCUAAAAAUUUUUUUGGAAGCCCAAGCAAUGGUAGUUAUUAUUUUUGUGGUAACAGUUUUAUUGACAUAUAAUAUACAUACCAUACAAUUUAAGUAUACAUUUAUACGUAUACAAUUUAAAGUAGACAAUUCAAUGGUUUUAACUAUAUUCACAGAAUUGUACAACCAUCACUACAAUCAGUAAUUGUGUGUGUAUUCAUGUGUGUGUGUGUAUUAAAUUAUUAUUAUUUUGGUGAGGGAGUCAUAGAAGGUAAUUUAAAAAUGAGAAGGUGGCUGGGCAUGGUGGCUCAUACCUGUAAUCCCAGUGCUUUUGGGAAGCCAAGGCAGGAGAACCACUUGAGGCCAGACGUUUAAGACCAGCCUGGGCAACAUAGUGAGACCCUGCCUGCACCUGUAGUCCUAGCUACUUGGGAGGCUGAAGCAGGAAGGUUCCUUGAGCCCAGUAGUUAAAGGCUAUAGUGAGUUAUGAUUGCGCCACUACACUCCCGCCUGGGUGACAGAACAAGACUCUGUCUCUAAAAAAAAUAAACCCUGAAAAACCAGAAGGAGAUGUGGUUGGCCUUGUGAUUUUUAUUUUUCUUUGGGACAAGGUCUCACUCUGUUAUCCAGGCUGGAGUGCAGUGGUAUAAAUAAGGCUUACUGCUACCUUGACCUUCUGGUCUUGAUCUCCUGGGCUCAAGUGACCCUUCUGCCUUGGCCUUCCAAAGUGCUGGGAUUUAGGGAUGAGCCAUGGUGCUUGGCCUGGCCUAGUGAUUUUGAGUGUGCCCAACUCUAAGCCUCUGUAUUCACACUUCCAGAGCCAGUAUUUUAUCUACUUUUUCAAUUCUGGUUCUAGAACAGAGCCUGACUUAUGGUAGGUGUUCAGUAAAUACAUGUUAAAUGAUGACUGACUGAAUCGAGGUCAUUCUUUUUUUCUUUUUUUUUUUUGGAGACAGAGUUUCACUCAUCACCCAGGCUGGAGUGCAAUGGUGUGAUCUUGGCUCACUGCAACCUCCGACUUCCUGGUUCAGGCAAUUCUCCCAAGUAGCUGGAAUUACAGGUGCCUGCCACCAUGCCCAGCUAAUUUUUUUGUAUUUUUAGUAGAGAUGGGGUUUCGCCAUGUCUGCCAGGCUGGUCUUGAACUCCUGACCUCAGGUGAUUCCCCACCCCCCACCGCCCCUGCCUCUUGGCCUCCCAAGUGUUGGGAUUACAGGGGUGAGCCACUGCACCUGGCCUCAAUCAGAAGUCAUUUUUAACCCGUUUAUGUCACCAUACUUUUCCUGUUACUUCCAUGGUUCCUCUCAACAACCAUUCCUUUUUCUGGGAUACUCCAGGGAACAGCCAGAGGAGAAUUAUUCAGUGUUCUGUAGUUCCUCCUGGACUUAGCUCUAACCCACCUGCACCAUCCCAUUCUUUGCCCCAUCCUCUGUCCUGACCUUCUCUGUGGUUUCUGACUCACACCUCAUUCUCUGGUUUUCAGCCUUCCUUUAUUUGGGCUUGAGUCUCUUCUUGUAGUCUUAUUACUCACUGUUCCGGUUCAGGCAAGUUACCUAAAUGCUCCAUGCCCCAGGUUCCUCAUCCACCUAGGAAAAUAGCUUAAACAGGAGAAGAGGGGUAAAGGUGGAAUACUGGGAAACGCUGACAUUUAAAGAAAAAGAGCAACAUCUUAUCUCAUUGACUGAGGUAAAGGCUGGAGAGUGCCUAGUUUCUGCAUAUACAGGCAGCAGAUAUGAGUGAUGAUCACGAUUUCAUUACUCUUGAGACAUAGAAUCAUUAUUAAUUCAUCCUUCAGAUCUGAAACUUGUAUCAGCACCAUCUUCCUGAUGAUGACCUUGAGUUCUCUCAGCUACAAUGCAGUUUCUUCUUUCAACCAUGCUUCCUUGAGGAAACCUAGCCCCAGACUUCCUCCCUGGGUGACUGUCCUCUGGGCAGUGCCUGUACCCUGUUGACCUACCUUCAGAGCAGAAACAUAACUCGCUAUUGCUAAGUGAGUUGAUUCUGUGUUUCUGAUUGGGCAACCGUGCACCUAGUUUGCUUUCAGCUAGUUUGCUUUUCAGGAUGCUAAAUUUAGGGAUUAAUUUGCAGCUUCUCAACUUCUAGGCAGUGAGCUUGCUUCCUAUGUUUUAAACUGCCUAGUAACAGCUCUAAAGCCCCUAAACCAACCACUUGUAAUUAUGUGGAUUGCUGUCAAAAUUAGUUUACCUCUGUCAAUGACCUACAGUUCCUUAGAAUCUUUCUGUUUAUUUCAACUAUGGGUAGUUCCUAAGGCAAGGAAAAGCAUGUCAACCCUCUUUUAAUAGGAGUAGCAUUUUGCUCGUUUCAUGAGAAAAAUGAUUCCAUUGUGCUUUUUCUAGGUAUACUUCUUACAGCCGAUGAGCGUGUGUCUCUCAGUGUAUUUAUUAUCAGGGGCUCUUUGGAAAAUAAUUUAGGAUGUCUAAAAGCCAACAGUGCUUGGCCUAUCGUAGGUACUACUAAAUGUUUAUUGCAAUGGAGUGAACAAAGAAAAGGUUGUUCAAUAUGUUGAAGGCUGCAGAAAAUUGAAGUAGGAAGAGAAGCAAGCGAAGACCCUGUGUGUUAGGAUAGGGAGUCACUGGUGACUUUAGAGAGAGUUAGUAAAGUGUGCUGUGGAAGCCAAAAUGAAAUGUUAAUAUUGUUUUAAAUUCACUUUUUGGAAAAGAUGAUGAGGCACAUGUUUUGAGAAGGUAAAAAAAAAAAAAUAAUAAGGCCAUAAAGUUAGACUUGUCUUCUGUGUAAUAUUUUGUUCUUUUAUUAUGUUGGCUGACGGAGGUUGAAAUAUAUUGGCCUUUAUUUGGAGAGAUGAGAACUCCAGAGAAAAUGUGUCUGGAUAAUCAGCUAGAUUCUCAAAAGAGUAUUCCAUUUUGCAUAAGAGAACUGGAGACAAAGUACAAAUGAGCAGAAAGGAAAUUUCCAGUUUCUGGAUAAAUAAAUCACAGAAUAUUUUGUUAAUAUAUGUAGAUGUAGACAUUUUGGGGUCAGGUUUCUUCUAGAAAUAUUUAGUGCUUGCUGACAUGAAACUGCUCUUUUGUCUUUGCUCCACACCCUCACAGGGCUGCUCUGUGUCAGGUGGUGUUUGGCAUCACUGUAAGUCAUGUUCCCACUCCUUAGAAAGCACCUCUUCUAGGAGGAUUUGUGAACAGUGCCAGAGCUGGUCUGCAUCUCCACCGGUCAUUGUUUUUCUUGUUGUUUUCGGAGGCAUGGACAGAGGAUUCUCUGAAGUCAUCCUGACUGAAACAACAGAUUGAGAAUUAAUUCACUUGGGGCCAGUGCCAGGUGAUUGUCGGCUAGUGACAGAGAAGACAAAUGGAAAACAUCUGGACAUUUGAAGGGCAGUGACCAUAAACUGCUUCUCAGAUACUGGAGUCUGAGCACACCAUCUGUUGACUAAGUGAAUAGUUGACCUGAGAAGAAAGUUGCUCAAGAGGGAAGUGCCCUGAGAAAAAGCCACUGAGAGGGGAGUGUCAUCUGGGUUGGGAACCCAAAGCAAGCAGCCAUCCAGAUCCUGAGUGGGAUCAUUUUCUUUCUUUUGAUGUAGUAUGGGAAGCAUCCAGUUUUCAUAGAAUGUAGAAUAAAAUUAUACUAAUA